CCUGGGCUGCGGGAGUCGUGCGCUGGCCCAGGGUUGGGACCAAGCUGAGGCUGAUUAUCUCUGCUCUUAGCAGCACUUAUGUUGUGGCAACAGGGAAAACAGAGUAGGUUCUGGCAAACAGGAAGGAUACUGCAGGGCCAAACAAGACAUUUACGAACAACCUGAGAAGCAUCUAAGCUAUUUUUGGCCAUUUGUUCUAACAAAUAAAUUUCAGAAUUACCUCAUCAAUUUCCACAUACACAAAAAUGAAGUUAUAAUUUCACUGUCUGCUGACUCCUACUGCUGCUGCUGAGAAAGAAGUCAACCAGAGGUUUAACUGUUGCUUUUCUGAAGGUAUUAAAGGGUAUUUUAAGAAUUGUUUCUUCAUGUGGUUUGCAGAUUAACUAUAUAUAAUGUGUCUAGUGUGGACUUCUUUUUAUAUAUCCCGCUUAAUAUUUAUUGGGUUUCUAGAAUCUGUAGGUUAGUGUAUUUCAAUUCUAAAAAUAAUUUUCAGCCAUUCUCUUCUUUAAUAUUUCAUCUGUUCCCAUAUCUCUUUCUGAAAUUCUACUUAAAUAUAUGUUAGACUCUCUCACUUUAUCCCCAUAUUUCUUGACUUCCAUUUCAUAUUUUCCAUUUCUGUUUCUAGGCUGCAUUCUAGACAAUUUCUUCAAUUCAGUUUCCCAAUUCAUUAAUUUUUUUCUUCCAUAUCCAAUCUGCUGUUAAACCUGACCAAGGAAAUUAUAAUUUGUUAUUAUUUUAUCAUUUCUAGAGGUUAUGAUUAGUACUUCUUCAAAUCUUCUUGUUCUCAACUACAUUCCUAAUACUCUCAUUUCUGGAAAUUAAAGUAAGCACUCUUUCCUGUUCAGGGCUUCUUGUUUCAUUGUACAUAGUGUUUUGAUAAUGAGUUACUCAUUUCUCUUGAAAUUAUGGUUCUCUUAUUAUUUAUUCCCCAUUUUUUAAAUCUUUUUCUGUUAUUCCUAUGAGCUGGAUUUUGACCUUUUCACCCUCAUUGAUCUCCCAUGUAUCUUAAUUUCCUUUCAUAUCUUCCAUCUGCCUUUUGCUAUAUUUUCAGAAAAAAGUUAUCAGCUUUCUAUUCCAGAUUCUAGACUUUAGCUAUUACUUAUCAUUUCUAAUAAUUUCUUGUCAACCAUAUUUUUAAUUCUCAAGUGCUCAUUUAUACUGUAACUGCUUCUUUUUCACACCACUCUGUUCUUUAAUACAAAUAAUUUCAAAUGAUUCUGAAGACUGUAGUUAUACUUUACAUUUUUUUCUUCUGUUUCUGGAAUUAAGUAGAUUUCCUCUGGAGUCAGUCCUUCAUUUUGGUGCUAAUUGGUUACACAUUCAUGUUUCUGAAUGAUAGCAGGUUGGCUAACAAAGGUAAUGGAUAUGGAUUUCCUAUAUUAGCAUAUUGAUCUAUUUUCCUAAUACACAUAUCCCUUGUAGGAAACAGCUGAUUUAGAGCUCUUUGUAAUUGGACAGGGUAUGUGAGUUUGAACAUUUAGGGUUCAGGAGAAGACAGACCUCGAGACCCUGGAGCCCUUAUCAUCUCAUCAGCUGCCUCCCCCCCAAAUUAGAAGUACUUUACUCUGGACGUGUGGCAUUUUUGCUCAUCCCCAGCUUGAAAAAAGUUAACUCUUCUUCCACCACACAAUUUUUAAGGUCUAGUAUUAUCUCUGAAUCUAUUCUGCUUCCCUUUUAGGUAUCAACUCCCAACUAGAAAUUCUAUCCAGUCAACUGUUCAUUUUCUUAGCAAAUGUUACUGUGUUUUUGGUAUUUUGGUGCUUUUUUUUUUGAGGAGGGGUGGAAAUCCAGAUGGAAAGCUCUGUAUGAGAACCAGGAUGGAGAGAGGGUCAUGGAUGGAAGAAGGAAGGGCCAGGUGCCUCCCACUGUUUGCACUCCACACAUAUUUGUGAGACUGAGUGGAAACCUGGGACUUUGGCAUAGCUCCUGAAGACUGUCUCCCACCACUGCUCGAGCUUGUUCCCGUUUGUUGCAUGGUUUUCCUUUUCUGGUCAUGACCUUCCCUAUGCAGGAUUAUUUAAUAGGAGGGUCCUAUGUACUCUCUAUUUUCUAGAACUCAACUGAAUUUCUGGUUUGUUGAUGCAUCCCUUUCUGUCCUCAGUGCUGUUAAAAAUUUAUUUCCAUCACUGUACUUUUGUGGUUAUUUAAAUGGCAAUUCUGAAGGACCAGAAAAGCGCUUUAUGCUCAGUCUGUGACUUGAAUAGGAUAUGCUCCAAACUUUAAUAAAAUGUGGACACAGGUCACUUGUUUUAAUGUUUGUUUCUCAAUGUGUAAUAAGCUUUUAUUUUCUAAAGUUAAAUGAAAUUAACCAGCAAUUCAGCAAACUGACUAAAAUUUCUAUCUUUUAAAAGAUUCAAAUUAAAGAUAAGUUUCUGUUUACUUUCUAUACUCUUCUCUUAGCAUCUCUGUAACUUCUGUAAUUCAAAAAAGAAAAAAAAAGCACUGACCUAAAAUGGUGAAGAUUAGUUCAUCAAGCCACACAUACAUUUUGUGUUUGGUUUUUUUGAAGUGCAUUUUUUUUCUAUUUUCUACAUUUUUACUAGAGUCACGAUUCCAAAAACUUUAAGGAUUCCAAAUCAAAUGCAUGGGAAACAGCACAGGAAAUGCUGGUGAGACCAGCUCUUCUAAAGCUUCAAGUGUGCUGUAACCUGUAUGAAUGCUCAGGUUUUUAGUGGUAUCACCUUUAUAUAGAUGUGCUUGGCUUUGGGAAGAAUUUAUUUUAAAAAAUACAAAGCAAAUAAUCUCCCUAUCGCCAGAAAAGAAAAAGCCAAUCACAGACUUCCUCAAGCCAUGAAGUGCCAGAGGGUUUCAUACCACACUAAGCAGGUGCCACAUCACAUUCCACAGACAUGGGUCUGCUUUUGCAUAAUCCAGAUGCAGUUUUAGCAUGUCAGUGCUAUGGCAUGCUGCAAAAAUAUGC